GUAGGUGGCAAGCGUUGUCCGGAGUUAUUGGGCGUAAAGCGCGCGCAGGCGGUUCUUUAAGUCUGAUGUGAAAGCCCACGGGCUCAACCGUGGAGGGUCAUUGGAAACUGGAGAACUUGAGUACAGAAGAGGAAAGCGGAAUUCCACGUGUAGCGGUGAAAUGCGUAGAGAUGUGGAGGAACACCAGUGGCGAAGGCGGCUUUCUGGUCUGUAACUGACGCUGAGGCGCGAAAGCGUGGGGAGCAAACAGGAUUAGAUACCCUGGUAGUCCACGCCGUAAACGAUGAGUGCUAAGUGUUAGGGGGUUUCCGCCCCUUAGUGCUGCAGCUAACGCAUUAAGCACUCCGCCUGGGGAGUACGGCCGCAAAGGCUG
rnacentral:rRNA from 1 species